rnacentral:lncRNA from 1 species
ACACAUUUACUUUUCUGCUUAUGAGCAUUGAGUGUGGUCAAGCUGUGUAGACCCUUAGGAGCUUGUCAUGUGGUUAAAUCAAGAUUCACUUGCACGUUCACUUAUACAUGCUGUUUCUACUCCCGGAAGUACGCAUCCACAUACAUCCACUCAUUUCCAUAUCCAGAACCACCCAAAAAUAUUCUACUCCUAAUCCGGGAGAGAAUAGCCAAAAAUAUUCCUGUUUUUCCCUGUGAAAUAAAUGCUCAAGUUAUCUUGUUUACUACCACUUGCUAUAUUAUUUCAAGAGAUGAGUGCUCUAAAAAAAGAGAGAUACAAGAAAAUAAAAAGGGGCACGUGCCCAGAACCUCAAAGAAAAGAAAAAGUGAGACGAGAGGUAAAAAUGGACAAGUGUCCGACAGUAGAAUUAGGCCUACAAGAUACCCACCUGAGAGAAAAGAAAAAGAAAAUAUAGAGUAUCUCAUUCUCCUAAAAAAGUUUCAAAAGAGCAAGAAAGGUAUGUAUCCCUCAAAAGAGCACAAGUAGAAUUAGACUUUCACCAUUAUUAUCACCAUCAUCACCAUACACUAUUCAUUCGCCACACAUGCACAUCUUAAUUUGACUUAUUGACUUGUUGCUCUGGAUCCAUGGUUUGACUAUGCAAUAAAUGUCUUGUAAGUAUAUAUUAGCUGUCUUCCACCUAUGAGCUCCACAUAUCAAAAGCCUUAUUAGAGUAGGGUGAGACAAGGUAAUGUCACUAUGCUUCAUACCACAAAUACUACAUACUUUGAGAGAAGGCAUACACCAUUACUGCCUUGGUAAGGAUCCAAAAAUACCACAAAAGAGAGACUAGAGAGAGUCAUACAAGGAAUCUCUGAGUUUUAUUAUAAAAUCUGCAAAAACUCCAGAGCUAUAGUUAAUCGAAGAACAAGAGACAUGGUGCUUGACUAGACCGUUCUAUCUUUUAACUACUCAAGACACAGGUGACGGUUGCAAGCCCCAUGGUGGAAGGUAAUAUGAGUAAGUUUAAAUCUUAACAGUUUACCCUAACCCAGAGAUGAGAUCUUGUUUGAAUGCAUGUAUAUCUUUAAGGCAUGAAACCACUGCAGAAAACUCUUGAGUUCAUCUUUGCUCAGGACGAGCAAAGGUUAAGCUUGUGGGAGCUUGUUGACGGUCCUUAAUGCUCACAUUUAACCAUCAACUAAUCAUAGAAAAUGAUCCAAAUGCCACCAACACCUAGACUUAAGGUUUCAUUUGACAGAAUUCCAUGAGUUUUGGUGUUUGUCUAUUUGUGCAGGGGGUUAUUAGGAAAUACGAAAGAAAGGCCCACACGUCGGGUUUACAUAGAGAUAUUAACGUGCCGCGCAAUUUUCUAUCAUCUAGAAGACUCUAGAAGCCACGG